ACGAGUGGCGGACGGGUGGGGUAAUGUCUGGGAAACUGCCUGAUGGAGGGGGAUAACUACUGGAAACGGUAGCUAAUACCGCAUAACGUCGCAAGACCAAAGAGGGGGACCUUCGGGCCUCUUGCCAUCGGAUGUGCCCAGAUGGGAUUAGCUUGUUGGUGGGGUAACGGCUCACCAAGGCGACGAUCCCUAGCUGGUCUGAGAGGAUGACCAGCCACACUGGAACUGAGACACGGUCCAGACUCCUACGGGAGGCAGCAUG
rnacentral:rRNA from 1 species